rnacentral:rRNA from 1 species
GGGGCACGGGGGGCCUACGGGAGGCAGCAGUGGGGAAUUUUGGACAAUGGGCGAAAGCCUGAUCCAGCAAUGCCGCGUGCAGGAUGAAGGCCUUCGGGUUGUAAACUGCUUUUGUACGGAACGAAAAAGCUCCUUCUAAUACAGGGGGCCCAUGACGGUACCGUAAGAAUAAGCACCGGCUAACUACGUGCCAGCAGCCGCGGUAAUAAU